CAGCCGCCGCGGUAAUACGAAGGGGGCUAGCGUUGUUCGGAAUCACUGGGCGUAAAGCGCACGUAGGCGGACGCUUAAGUCAGGGGUGAAAUCCCGCAGCUCAACUGCGGAACUGCAUUCGAUACCGCCGAACUAGAGGCUUGGAGGGGGAAGCGGAAUUCUUGGUGUAGCGGUGAAAUGCGUAGAUAUCAAGGGGAACACCGGUGGCGAAGGCGGCUUCCUGGACAAGUCCUGACUCUGAAACACGAAAGCCAGGGGAGCGAAUGGGAUUAGAUACCCCCGUAGUCCCUGUCUCUUAUAC
rnacentral:rRNA from 1 species